rnacentral:ncRNA from 1 species
UUGUUCUCAGGGCGGAGUGUAAGUCUCCACCGGUGGUAAUUUAAUCAGAUUAAUGAUUAAUAAGUCCACGAGCAUAGUUUUAUGUUGAUUUGGUGAAAAUCCAAAACCGACAGUUACAGUCUGGAUGGAAGAGAAUG